GGGGUUGUGGCUCAGUGGCUAAGCACUUGCUUGGCAUGCCGAGGGUGCCAGGUUCCAUCCCUAGCAUCUCCU
rnacentral:tRNA from 1 species